UGUGCCCAGAGCCUAAUCUGUUGGGGGCCUACCAAGUUCAGGGUCCAUUUUGCUCAAGUUCAUGAUCAUAGGAUUUUAAAAAUAGUAAAUUUCAUGAUUUCAGCUAUUUAAAUCUGAAAUUUCACAGUGUUGUAAUUGUAGAGUUCCUGACCCAGAAAGGAAUUGUGGAGGGUUUGCAAGUUAGUGUGUGGGGGGUGCAAUACUGCUACCCUUACUUCUGUGCU